UAAUUAUCGAGAUGCAAAUCUAAUUUUUGGUAGAGAGAAAAUCUAGUCGAUAAUUCAUUUCUCAAAGAAAUGAAAUGUGAAAACUAAGUCUUAUAUUUAUGUUGCAUUUAUCGAAGAAAUUUCUUCAACAGAAUUCUAUUUGACAAAGCAGCAGAGCAUCUCCCGGAACCGACUUCGAAGCCGGAACGAAUGACGCUUUCGGCCACAUACCGAGUACACCGCCUUCCCAACGGGUGCCUUCCUUGUAAUUCAAUUAUGACGUUAUAAUUGCGAGAUCCUUAUGACUCAGACGUAAGGAUAGGUCUCGCACGAUUAAUCUCACUUUCAAAGCGGCUCUAUGCUCGGCUGCCUCUGGCAUUAGCGCAAGUCACUGAGAGCGCUGUAGCUCGUCAAGUGUGUACCGCCCGAUAGAUCGAUCCGAACGAAAGAAUUCGCAUUUAUUGAUUAUACGCGGCUGCGCAUAAUCCACUAUCCAGUACGUGCCCGUGUUCGCUCUCCUUCGAGCAAUGAAUCACGUUUCCAUUUCCAAGAGAAACUCGUUCGCGGAGUCCGAAGAUCAACUUGAGAAAAUUCACAAAUGUAAUCCGUUACCACAUCCGGAGAAGGAAAAAGAAAUUUGUACAUUUCUAAAAAUACUGUCGCUGCGUUCAUAAUUAUGUUGAAAGAAGGAUUUUCCUAGGGAAAGUUAACGGAUGAUAGCGUGGCUUUCAAAAGGAUAAUAAAGCAACACCGCAAGCUUAUAAGUAAAACAUAUUAAUCAUAUGCAAAUAUAAAUGAUUUUACAUGGUAAUUCUAGCAAAUAAAAGAUACAAUAUGAAGAUGACGUUGCGCAAAGAAGCGAGUAAACGUUCAUUACACCAUCAGCUUCACGCACCCAAAGGGCAAUCUCAUCAGUUAUCAGCUUCGCACGCUUCUUUCGAUCGAAAAUCCAUUCGAAAUCUCGAGUUCACAAAAAUUUCGCUCAAUUACGCACUUCUCUUCUUUACUCAUUUCACAGAAUAAGAAUAACCGAUUUCCGAAAUUAGAAAUCGGCCUGAUCGCUUUUCUCUCUUAUCAAAUCAUCUAUUUUUCAAAAUCUCCGAUUUAAUUUUCCGAAUUUGUAAAAUAAUUAAAAUAACUGUAACAUAUAUAAUUAUUAUUUUUUCAUUUCUUUAAAAUUCCUUCAGAUUCUUAAGGAUGUGGAAUAAGUAAAGAAAGAGCGUGUACAUAAUUCAAGAGUAGAGAUCUCUCAUCACUUACGUUCUUCCGAAUAUUCUGUGUGGCACGAUACAAUGAUCCACGAUUUUCGAUAAAAAUUAAUCUUGCGGUGGAAAUCAAAGAGACGGAGCUAACAAUCGCGCUACUCGUCACACUUUCGUUGAGAAAGAUCGCUUCGCGAGAAAGCGCUACACACAAUUUAUUUAUCUCCCUUAAUCGUAAAUCUUGAUGCGAGGCUGGACGAAUCGUCUCUAACUACGAGAUCCUGGACAAAAUGUGAAAAUUGACAGUCGAGGUAAUCGCAAGAAUGGACGUUUCCUAGGAUGAGAGAACAAAUCGUCAGCUCGAUCUCCUUGAUUAAUCCUCGAUCAUAUUCCGCGACAAAAAAGCACGCGGAAAUUAUAAAUUCCCGAAAGAUAUCAACAGCGUCACGACACUCGAAUUAUUGCUAACGAAGCUAAAACCGCAAAACUUCUUCGCGGAUCAAUGUGUGUAUGUUGUGUGGCUGUGUGUUUAUGUAUAUGUCGAGUGAAUGAAUGGGUGGGUAGGAUGGAUGGAUGGAUGGAUGGAUGGAUGGAUGGAUGGAUGAGUGGGUGUAUGUGUGAUAAAAGAUACAAAAGGAUUGUCCGAGUGUGCCGAAUUUCGCGAGGAUCGAGAAUGAGCGAAAUCUCAGCUGCACUGAUCGGCGAACGGUAGUUUGAUACCUAACGGUGUUUGAUACUAUAUUAGUGGUAAUUACGAUAAUAAUUUGUCCUUCAUCAGCGUAUGAAUACAUGGCGUGCGCAA